rnacentral:pre_miRNA from 7 species
CCCAAGCUAAAUGGGGGGGUUUAUUUACUCUAGAUUUGUCACAUUGAAAGACCCCCGAAGGGAGACCCUCACUCAAGCCUCGGGACAGCCGCGGACCCAAGAAGACACCGAGACCA